AAAAUUAAAUUUAAUUGCAUAAUAAGUUGCACUGGUUGCAAAAGACAAAAAAUAAGUGGCCCUGCAAGGGCCAAUACUAAUAUCACAAAAGUAAUUAUGAAAUCAACUAAAAAUAACCAUAAAAUCAACUAAAAACAACCAACGUCCUUUUCCGUCCCUCUCUCUUCAUAUCAAUAACAUACCUCUUCCCUUCCCCUAUUCGAUCUCAAAUCAUCCAUCACCCGUAACCCUGCAAUUGAAUACACUAUUCUCUUUUCAUUCACAUUUCCAAUUGACUUGUUGAGGGGUUUUUUCGGCUGAAGCCUUGGCAGCCUUGCAGAGGCCUUGACGGCCUUGCUGAGACCUUGAAUGAUUUGGAGUCAUCGUCAGUAGAGAGAUUAUCAUAUUAGACUUGCUGCAUAUCAGAAGUGGACAUCACGAAGAUAACGGGUCAUAAAGUGUUUGGAAACUGAGAAGGGUAAUAUUGGAUCAGAGUGGUGCUAUGGCAUGGAACAUACCACUUGGAGGACUUAUAUGGGAGGCCUAUCUCGAAGGUUUGGAAUGCAGAGCACUUGUGAAGAGAUUAUAGGUAGAAUCAUGUAUCUGCCACAGUGCAAUAUAACAG
rnacentral:lncRNA from 1 species